CUGACCGCUUAUCUGAAGCACCCUGUCGUCUUCGACCUCGACCUUCACUUCCUCUUUCCUGAGCCCCGGAAGAUCGGCCUUGAACACGUGGGCUUCCGGGGUUUCCUUCCAGUCCACGCGGGCAUUAACGACAGCAGAGGUUUCUGGAGGGAACUGAGAGGACAGCGCAGGCGAAUAACCGGAAGGGAAAGGGAAGUCCCUGAAUGGAUCCCAAACGUCGAGUGAAAAUGGAUUAGAGACGCUGCUGCGUCGGUUUCCGAAGAAGCUUGGAAUCAAAGACAUCGUUUCUCAAAAGAGUGAUACGGCUUUCGGUAUUUUGCUGCUGAUGCGAAGAAGAGGGUAAGUGAUUGGGUAUUUAUACAACUAUAGGAGAUUUCUGGUAAUUUCGGGGGCAUUAAUUGCUUUGUAUUUUGUCUUAGCGGGAACCGACACGAAACGAGGUAUCUAGUAUUCUCUUAAUCUCUUUAACAUGAAAUUCUGUGGGCUCUGCUUGAAGGUUCUGGAUUUUGCAUGUUAAAAGCUUUCAAGCUUGUCUUGUCUGUCAUGCGGAGAACGAAGUCUGAAGUGUCAUGUCGGUUUCUUAUAUUUAACUGCAUGACACAAGUACAUUUGUUUUUUUUUUGGAUACAAAACUAUGGAUCUAUAUGAGAAGAUUUGAACGUUGCAUUGGCAAAGGUUUGUCCUGUUACCAUUACUUGAAUGAUUGGUGAAAUUAAUCCAAGUAAUUUUAAGUGAAACUGAAUUGAUGUUCCAUUUUGGUCUCAAUUCAUUUUGGAUAAUAGGACACCCAUAACUUCAAAAUAAUAAUAAUAAUAAUAAUAAUAAUAAUAAAUGGACAUUAAAAUUCCCUUUGGACUAUAACCCUCAAUAAAUAAUAAUUCGCAAAAUUGACUUUAAAUUUUUUAAUAAACAUAAAUAUUAUUUAAAUAAUUUAAUUUGUCUUGUAGAUUGAUAAUAUUAGAAUACUUUAAUUAUGAAAAAUAAUUUUUAAAAUGUAAAUAUUUAUCUUUAUUUUAAUAAUGUAUUUGUAUUUAUUAUAAAAAAAUUAAAUAAAUCUUUAGGUUAAAUAGAUUUUGCAAUUAAUGAAAUAUAUCUCAUGCAUUAGUAAUAUAAAAAUUAUUGUAUCUAAUAUUGAAGUUAAUUUAAAUUUUUAUUGGUUUAAUAAAAUAUGAGAUUCUAAACUAUAACUUUUUUAAUACUAAAUUUAUUUUUUAAUUUAUAUAUUGUUAUAUAUAUUUUAAUAUUCAAACAUCAGAGUUAAUUUUUUUAAGUUAAUAGAGUUAAAGGGUAUUUUGGUUAAAAAUGAGUCUUAAUAUCCCUUAUUAAAAAUAUGGGGUUUAUAUGAUUAUUAUUAUUUAAUUAUAGACAUGUAUUCAACUAUUUUUUUAAAAAAUUUUAAACAUAGUAGAACUUUAUAUGAGUGUGUUUUGUAAUAGGUCCAUCUCUUUGUGUUUAUAUUACUAUUUUUAUAAUAGAUUUUGAAUUUUAUUUAAUAAAUUAAUUUUAAUUCAAAUGAUUAAACAUUUCUUGAUUGACUUAUGUAAUUAACAAGAACAAAUAUCAUUAUAAUAUACUAAAAACAAUAUUAUAGGUAUCAUUAUUAAUGUAAACAAAUACAUAUGUUGGAUAUAUGUUUUUAUUUUUCAUGCUUUAUUAACAUAAACAUUAUCAAACUUUUUUACUAAUCAAAUAAUUUAUUUAUAAUGUAUAAUGUGUUUAACCAAUAAAUAUAAGUAUUGUUAAUAUUCAUGAGGUUAUAUAUGUCAAAAUAUUAUACUUUGGAUUUUUUUCUAAUAAACAAACAACUUAACAUUUAUAUUCAAAUAUUGGAAAAAAAAUAUAUCAUUAAGAUAUAUGUAUUCAAACCUAUCUAAACUUUAGUCAAAUUCAAAUCCAUUCAAAGUUCAAAUAAAAAACAAAUGCUCCCAUAUUCUCUUUUUCUCAAUGAAAAAUAUUUGAGGGUCAAAUAAGAAUUGAGCGAAAAUUUGGAUUAUAGUUGUACUUUAAUAAUGCACAUCUUUUUUUCAUUGAUGUACAAAUUUGAUACUGCAGAAUAAAUAUCCUUAUCUGAUAAUGUAGGUAGAAGUUAUUGCUUUGAGGGGUUAAAAAUGAUAUUUGAAAGAUCGAUAUCUAAAGAAUACUACAUAGAAUGUCAAAUUAACUAUAGGUACGAUAAUUUUGAAAGAUUAAAAAUGAGAUUUUUUUAAAAUGUAAAAGUAAGGAGUGUCUUAUCUGAAUUUAGUUAUGAAAAUGAAACUUCAUAAAUUUUUUGUACGAUUUUUCCUUAAAAUAAAUGAAUGUAUAUAUAUAUGGGAACUGAAUGACUAUUUUAAGAAUGAAAAAGUCUUUUUUUUUGGUAGUUUGAAAAAUUAAUAAGUUCAUAACUAUUUGGUUUUUAAAAAUCAAUUGUUUUUAGUUUGGUUUCGUUCGAGUUCUAAAAAGAGGGACAAAAGCUCAAACAAACUAAUUAAAAAAAUGUCGAAAAAUCAAACCGAUCGAUUUAGAUUACUUAAGUUCAAUUAGGGAUGGCAAUGGGGUGGGGUGGGGGUGGCCUACCCCAUUCCCCACCCCGUUAAAAAUUUUUGCCUCCAUUCCCCAAUAAAUUUAGUGGGGUGAGGAUGGAGAAUCCCCAUGUGGGGAAUGAUUUUUCCAUCCCCACCCCAUUCCCCAUUUAUCUAUUUUAUAAUAUGUAUAAAUACAUUAUUUUAGUAAGUUAAAAAUUAGAGACUUAAAAUAAAAUAAUCAUCAUCAUAUAAUAAAGUAUUUAAAUUAUUUUUUUAAAAAAAAUCUAAAAGUUUGAAACAAUAUCUUAAAAUGAUAUUAAAAGUGAAAAAUAUUUAAAGAGUGUAGCGCUUUAAAAGAGAAAAGAAAAUAUAACAAUAUUUAAGAGUUGAAAAAUAUUAUAGGAUUUUCUUUCAUUCAUGUAUUAUUUAUAUUGCAUAAAAAUUUAAAAAAUUAUUAAUUGACAUUAUAAUUGAUAAAAUAAAAAUUAUUAAAUAAGAAUUAAAAACAUAUUUAUAUAUAAUGGGGAUUGGGGUGGGGAGUACAAAACCAAACCCCACCCUAUUAAGAAUUUGGAAAUUAUUUUCUCCCAACUCCCCACCCCAUUCCCCAAAAAUUAUUCAAAAUUUUUCCUAUUUGGAGUGGGGCUCCAUGGGGCCCCAAACCCGUGGAGGAUUUUAACAUCCCUAGGUUCAAUUUUCAAUCAUGUCGAUUCGAAAAUUUCUAAACCAAACUGAAAAAUACCCAUAAAAUUUAUUCACUUUGAUAUUUCUUUUUCUGAUUUAAGCAUUUCAGGCUUGAGGCUCAAAUGGGCUUUUGGACCGUUAAGACCCAAACUUCCUACCAAUGGAUUUUCAUUUCGGCCUACUUUUUCAAGUAUGAGGUGUUAGUGGCCUCAUUGAAAGGGCUACAAUCGAUUUGUAAUUAAUUAGGAAAAGGAAAUUUAUGUGCUUAUAUAAUAUAAAAUAUAACCAUUUAGAUUAAUAUUUUUAUACUCACGUAAAAUUUAGGAUGGUAAUGUCCAAAGCUCUUUAUAUGAAUGCCAUUCCUUAGAUACAUCGACACAAGGACCACUUUAUUGUGGUUCAAAAUUUAAUCACUGCAUACACACCAGAAUGUUGAUACUACAAACUUAACAUGUAUUUAGCAAUUCAGAGGAGGAAGAUCUGCUAAAUCCUGAUAAGGUUCAAUCUUAAGAUUAUUCCUAAAAACGUGACUCCCAAAAAUCAAGAAACCAACUGAAUAUCCAGCAACUGCAGCAAGCAACACACCAAUAUUAAACGACAUGACAGCAAGCAUCACCAAAUAGGCCAGUCCAAUCCUGAAGGCGUACAUGAGAGUCUGUAAAAUCCCUGAAGCAACAUUGCUUAUGCCAGACUUGAUCAAUUUCGCAUGCGAGAUCCACUCUACUGUCAGUGAGAUCAUGAACACAAAGAUUAAAGCUAAUAUGUAGCAACUGAAGCUCUCGCCUGGCCAUCCUGGGAAUAGAAUCUCAGUAUUUGUGCCCCAGAAAAAUGUUAAAUGACCCAUCAUCAUCUUUUCUUUCGAUGUCUUUUGCCGCAGCAAGCUAAAAUGGAAAGCAGCACGAAGGAGGAUAUAUAAUAGUAGUCCAAUUAUAGGAGAAUAUGGAUUUUUUUAUUUUUAAUGCAAGUGAUGAUAUAUAGUACUUAACACUUGGAAGUUGUACUACCUUAUGUUCCACUUCGUGAAAUGUAAUGGUACUUUAGAAAGAUCAAUCAGGCACAUAAUAGUCGACUGUGAUUAGUCAAUUGGCUCUCAUUUUAUUAUCUUUUUGGCAUUCAUUUUAAAAAUAGGACCGAAAUUCAGAAUAUUUGUUCAUUACUAUGCAACUCCACUAUGAUAAAGAGGAAAAUGACGCAUUAUGAGCAGAGUGGUGGGGUCACCAUGUUGGUGUACUGCUUUUCAAAAUGAGUAUUUGUAGUACAAAUCAAAUAUUUAGCUGACUUUGCCCAAAUUUUAUUUGGAGGCCUUUGAUUCAUUGAUCAACCUGUAACUCUAUAAGUCGUUUAAAGAUGAAUAUGCGGUCUGCAGCAAUAAUUUGCUGUUGCCGCAUCUAACUAGAACAUUUGGAAAAUGGGUGCAAAAAUUAUUAGUUUCUCAAUCUCUAGUGGUUAUUAUUGAAAAAUUAUUAGUUUUUCAAUCACUAGUGCUGUUGCCACAUCUCUUAAAGCGACAUACUUCAUGUUUGGGAGGGAUACUGUUUGGGACAAAUGCGUCGAAGGGACCAGGAAUGACGAGCAGACAUCUGAUGGCGGAGUUCUGCGCACCGGUGUUUUCCGUUAAAGCCUGGCGCGUGGAAGAACAGGAGCAGAAACAUCCUGCUCGUCCACGAUGUUGUCGUCCGCGAGGCCAAUUCCUAUAAAAGGCAUGAGGCCAUUCCGGCUAGAGACCGAGAGGCGAGGAGACCCGGUCGACGGCAGUUGGCAAGACGCGCUCUCCAGCACGAGAACCUAGGCACAACAGCCACGCUUUCCCCAGAACCGCGACGUAACACGCAAGAUCUCACGGAGCCAUGACAGCCACACUUUCCCCAGAACCGUGGCGUAACACGCAAGGUCUCACAGAGCCGUGGCAGCCACGCUUUCCCCUGAACCGUGGCGUAACACGCUAGAUCCCAUGUUUUGCCCAUAACGCAGCAGUGGGAGUCCCAUACCGUCUCGAAAAGAGCGGAAGACUGAGAUUCAGAGGAAGCCUAUAAAAAGGUAGCCAACGAAGGUAAAAGGGUUAGCAUUUUUAAGAUAAAAGAGAAAACCACAAAAAGCCAUAAGACCUGUGGCAAGCGUUCCCCAAACCUUCAUAUCUGACUUGAGCGUCGGAGGGUUUGCGCCGGGAGAACAACCGGCGUACUCUGACUUGUCUGUGUGUGCAGGGACAUCCGGAGAAGAAGCAUUACUAGGAGACCUCCUGGUCGUGGUAGAGUUGAUCGAGCAGGGAUCCUGGUCGUAGAACGAGGAGAACCGGAAUCUCGCAUCAACAUUUUGGCGCCGUCUGUGGGGAUCCAGAGCAAAAAGCUUCUGUCGGUAGCAAGAAGAGGGGUGGAGUAAGCGAAAGUCAAUGGAGAUAGGAGGAAGUAGCGCACAAGGGGGUGACAUAAGGCUUAACGAUUCCGUGACGCUGAGGGAGGUGAUCAGCGAAGCACGGGAAAAAGUCAUGUUCGACCGGAUGGAGCGAAUGGAAAAGCAGAUGGAAACCUUGACAACCAUCCUGCAUGAGCUGCGGAACGAGCGAAGGGUAACCCAAGAGGGAAGGGUGAGAGGCGGUGGAGCGGCACCAGGUACCGAUAGUGCGGAGAGAAGUCAAACCGCUGGGAGAUUUGGUGGUGAGAGAGGUAACGUACCUCUGCGGGGAGAAUUUCAUAGAGAAAGAGAGCAGUCCCCGGUAAGACAGACUUGUGACGGGGGCGACGGGGUGGUGAACGCAGAGGAAACAGAACUGAGGCAACACUUACAUGAUGUAGAGCGAGAGCGGGAUCAAGCUGCAGCGCGCGACCCUGGUCGCGCAGGACAGCUGGAGGAGGAAGUGCGAAGGCUAGCGCAAAUAAUUGAUGACAUGCAAGGGAGGAACAGAGCCCCUGGUUGGAGGAUAAUGCUGGACGGGGAAUCACCGCUCGCAGCAGAGAUCAUGAGGGCAGUUAUUCCAAGAGAUUUCCGCCUCCCCGACCUCAGAUACUCGGGAAGAACUGACCCGCUGGUGCACAUAGAGCGCUUCAACGACAUAACGGGGGUCCAGGGAUUAUCUCCAUCCCAAAGGUGCAGGGUGUUCCCACUAUCCCUUGAGGGACGUGCACGAGAAUGGUACAGGAAACUUCCUCGGGGCAGCAUAAAAACCUUCGAGCAGAUGUGCCAGGAAUUCGCAGAGCAGUUUAGUGGGGCAAUGUCGCCGGAAGAUGACAUGAUGGAGCUGAAGAGCAUGAAACAGGGGGAGCAAGAAACCCUUCGGGAAUUCAUCAAGAGGUUUCACCGGGCUGUCCUCGACUUGGGAGCCUUCAACCACCCUCAGGCGUUAAGGGGACUGAAAGAAGGGGUGAAGAUAGGAAGGCUGUGGUACAAUUUGAGAAGCCCAGCUAUUCAAACGUAUGCAGCCGCAUACGAACAGGCUAAAAGAGACAUCGAGAUUGAGGAGGAGAAGGCUGCACGGAUCAAGACAGACCAGUUGGAAGGGUUAGGGAGGAAAGAGAAGAAAGCAUUACCAACUAAUGGACCGAACAGGAGGAGGGACCACCAGAUCUCCGGUAGUGGAGCAGGAGGUAGGGUAAUUGCUUACCAGCAUCAUCAGAGGCCGCCACAGUAUCAGCGCAGCAGGGCGCCACCUCCUCGCUCCCCAGCUAGGGAGCCUUGGAGAAGACAUGAUUCGGCAUCCGGCGACCUUCAUCAACAUUCCCACGGUAGCAGGACGAGCAGACCAGAAGCACUCCCACCGCCCCCAACUCACAGUGGGGCAAACAGAGAAAGAGCAGUGCAUCUGGUCGACCAGAACCAGGACUAUGGGCGGUACACUCCCUUGAAGAUGCCCCUGGAUGAGGUGUACGAGGCCAUAAAGGGUCGAGGGCUGCUGCACCUCCCCACACCAAUAACAAAGCUACCCAACAGGAGGGAUAGAGGACGUUAUUGUAAGUUCCAUGGCACCCAUGGCCAUACCACAGCAGAGUGUAGAGAUCUCAAGACCCAGGUCGAAGAUUUGGUGAGAAAUCGGUACCUGGACGAGUUUAUGGAUGGGACUUUCCCGAUGGUGGCCACCAUGGAUGAAGGGGAGCAGAGUGAUGGAAUCUUGAGACGCGAGCCGCCCGCAGCGAGGGUGAUAGCUGGGGGCCCAACGUUGGCUGGAGAUUCGAACAGAUCGAGAAAAAAUUAUGCCAGAUACGCCAUGACCAGUAAAGAGAUACUCUUCAACACCCCAGCAGCCAAACGAGCAAGGGUCAGGCAAGUGCCAAUCAUGUGGACGGAUGAGGAUGAGGAAGGGAUUCUAUACCCCCACGAGGACGCUUUAGUCAUCAAGGCCACGAUCGCUAGCAAGAAGUUUGACCGGAUACUGGUUGAUACGGGGAGCUCAGUUGAUGUGCUAUUUAAAUCAACUUUGGAAGAGAUGGGAAUAGCCGACCGGAAGUUGGAAUACACCAACACCUCCUUGAAGGGGUUCGGAGGAGGGAAGCUGGUCCCUCUGGGCGUGGUCGAACUGCCUAUCACAAUCGGGAGCCCCCCGACAGAAAGAACAAUGAUACUGGACUUCGUCGUAGUGGACGAGGAAGGUCCUUACCAGAUGAUCCUAGGUCGGCCAUUUUUAAGGAUGAGCAAAGCGGUGCUGUCCAACCAUUAUCUGUCUCUAAAGUACCGGGUGAAUGGGGUAGUCGGAGUGGUACGAGGAGACCAGAGGAUCGCAAGAAGCUGCUACUCCUCGGCAGCAAGGGAGGCGAUGCAGAUAACAUCCCUCGAUACCCGAGUGGAAAACAAGACUGGCAGACAAGAACCCGUAGAGGAUCUGGAAACAGUAAGCAUGGGACCGGAGAACCCGGGAAAGACGAUCAGAAUCGGGUCGAGACUUGAGGGAGAGCAAAAGCAGGAGUUGGUGAAAUGCUUACAGGCUCAUGCCGACGUGUUUGCCUGGACACAUGAGGACAUGCCAGGGAUUGACCCAGAGGUAGCAUGUCAUAGGCUGGCAAUAAAGAAAGGUGCUCGGGCAGUAAGGCAGAAGAGGAGGUGCUUCAACCAGGAGAGGUAUGAGGCUGUAAGUGAUGAGGUGGAGAAGCUUCUGAGAGCAGGGUUCAUUCGGGAAGUUAAUUACCCAGAGUGGAUAUCGAACGUGGUGUUGGUAAAGAAGGCGAACGGCAAGUGGAGGAUGUGUGUGGAUUUCACAGACCUCAAUAAGGCGUGCCCAAAAGACAGCUUCCCUUUACCAAAGAUCGAUCAGCUAGUAGAUUCAACGGCUGGACAUGGUCUGCUUAGCUUCAUGGACGCAUUCUCGGGAUACAACCAGAUCCCCAUGUACGAGCCGAAUGAGGAGAGCACGGCUUUCAUCACUAACCAAGGUCUGUUCUGUUACAGGGUGAUGCCAUUCGGUCUCAAGAAUGCUGGGGCCACCUAUCAAAGGCUGGUGAAUAAAGUCUUUAAGCCCUUGAUCGGGAAAACCAUGGAGGUGUACGUGGACGACAUGAUCACCAAGUCCAAAGUCCCGAAGGAACAUGUCAGACAUCUCGAGGAGACGUUCGAGCUUUUGAGGAAGUAUAAGAUGAAGCUCAACCCGGAGAAGUGUGCUUUCGGGGUCGAGUCCGGGAAAUUCCUGGGAUUCAUGGUGAGCCAUAGGGGGAUUGAAGCAAAUCCCGAGAAGAUCCAGGCGAUUGUGCAAAUGACGUCUCCUCGAAACCUGAAGGAGAUGCAGAGCCUCACGGGGAGGUUGGCGGCGUUGAGCAGAUUCAUAUCCAAGGCUACAGAUAAGUGUCAGCCAUUCUUUCAAGUGAUAAGGAGGGGAAAGAAAACGGAAUGGACCCCAGAAUGCGAGGAAGCCUUCCGGAACUUGAAGCAUUACUUGCAGCAAGCUCCGCUACUGUCCACACCGAGGGAUGGGGACAAGUUGAAUCUGUAUUUGGCGGUAUCUGAUCGGGCCGCCAGUUCCGUUCUGGUGAGAGAGGAAGAAGGAAUUCAGUAUCCGAUAUACUACACCAGCAAGGCCCUGCUCGACGCUGAGACCAGAUACCCAACGAUGGAGAAAUGGGCACUGGCCCUUGUGGUUGCUGCUCGGAAGUUGAGGCCGUACUUUCAAGCAUUCCCGGUCUCGGUAAUCACCAACCAGCCAUUGCGUCAAAUUCUGCACAAGCCGGAUGCCUCUGGUCGGCUCGUCAAAUGGGCUGUAGAGCUGAGCGAAUUCGACUUAGACUAUAAACCCCGCGCGGCGAUAAAGGCCCAGGCAAUGGCCGAUUUCGUAGCUGAGUUCGCGGAGCCUGAAGUAUGCUUGGAUCAGCAAGAUGCAGAUAUAGGCAACGACGAAACUCAAGUAUGGCAGAUAUCUGUGGAUGGGUCAUCAGGAGAGCGGGGUUCAGGAGCAGGGAUUGUCCUGGAAGGCCCAGAGGGGGAGGAGAUCUCUUAUGCUGUAAAGUUGGAAUUCGCAGCCACAAAUAACCAGGCAGAAUAUGAAGCCUUGAUAGCAGGGCUGGAAUUGGCUAGGGCCGUGAAAGCGGACAGAGUUAAGAUCAGAACCGAUUCCCAGCUGGUUGCGAAUCAUGUCAGUGAAAGAUUCCAACCAAGAGAGGAGAAGAUGGAACAGUACCUAAGGAUAGUCAGGCAGAUGAUGGGGAAGUUCGAAGCAGUGGAGGUGAUACAAAUCCCCAGGGAGCAGAAUAGUCGAGCAGACAUUUUGGCUAGGAUGGCAGCCGUCGCCGACCCAAAAAUGCCAAAGUCGGUCCCCCUAGAAGUAAAGUCUCGCCCGAGUAUCGAGCAAAAUUUGGGGGUGUUGCGGAUAGAACAAAAAAGCUCGUGGAGGGACCCGAUAGUUUCGUACCUUAGAGACGGGGUCUUACCACCAGAUAAGCUACGGGCUCGGAAGAUUAGAGCUCAGGCCUCGAGAUACACGAUGAUCGAUGGGGUACUGUAUCGACGAGGAUAUACAUUACCAUUCCUUCGGUGUUUGGACGAUGACGACGCGGAUUACGUGCUGAGGGAAGUGCAUGAAGGAAUUUGCGGAAAUCAUUCUGGCGGGAGGUCCCUGGCCCACAAGGUCUUAAGGCAGGGAUAUUUCUGGCCGACGAUGCACCAGGAUGCGCAAAGGAAGACCAGGAGCUGUGCAAGCUGCCAGAGUUUUGUAAAUUUUUCUAACCAACCACCAGAGAAGCUCACCUCCAUGGCCUCCCCUUGGCCAUUCGCUCAAUGGGGAAUUGAUCUGAUCGGCCCAUUGCCAAAGGGACGAGGAGCAGCAACACAUGCGAUAGUCGCUGUAGAUUACUUCACGAAGUGGAUAGAGGUAGAAGCCCUUAGCAGGAUCACAGAGAAGAAAACAACAGACUUCGUGUGGAGAAACCUGGUCUGUCGAUACGGGAUCCCAUAUGCCUUGGUAACGGAUAAUGGCAGGCAGUUCGAUAAUCACAGCUUCAGGGAUUUCUGCCAGAACCUCGGGAUAGAGCUGAAGUAUUGCUCGCCUGCUCACCCCCAAUCGAAUGGACAAGUAGAAGCAGCCAACAAGACAGUCAAGAGGCUUCUGAAAACCAGGCUCGGAGCAAAAAAGGGUGCGUGGGUUGACGAGCUGUCAGGUGUGCUAUGGGCAUACAGAACAACCCACAAAACCGCAACGGGGGAGACACCGUUCGCUUUGGCUUUCGGACAUGAAGCGGUCGUGCCGGCUGAGGUAGGAACGACCACACACCGGACAGAUCACUUCAAUGAGCAGGAGAACGACGAGCAGAUAUGUUUGAAUCUUGAUCUGCUAAUGGAGAGGAGGGAACAAGCAGCCGAGCGAUCAGUCACUUACCAACAGAGGGUUGCUCGGUAUUAUAACCAGAAGGUGAACAUACGGCAAUUCAGGGUCGGAGACUGGGUACUGAGAAGAGUGAAUCAGAGCACCAAAGAUUCGACUCAAGGAGUGCUGGGACCGAAUUGGGAAGGGCCGUAUAGAGUCAAGCAGAUAGCGGGGCCCGGAGCUUACAAGCUGGUUCGCGCGGACGGCCACGAAGUGAAACGCCCAUGGAACGCAGCACACCUCCGAAAAUACUUCCAGUAAGACUUGCUCACAUUUUAAAGCAAUUUCUGCUCAUGCUGUCUAUCUUUUAUUUUUAUGUCUUAUGUCCGAACAAUUUCAUGUAAGUCAAAUCCUGCCAUUAAUGUAACGUCGACGAAUUUAUUUCGCUUGAAACCGAAAAAAAAAAAAAAAAAAAAAUCCUAAGGCAUGCAAAGGCUCGCCAAGUCUCAGAGCCUGUCUUAUGGCGAGACAGAAGCCAAGCAUGCCAGGAUCUGCUCGGCCACGAGAAGGCAGCAGAAUCCAAAUCGUUUGAAGAAAAUCCUAAGGCAUGCAAAGGCUCGCCAAGUCUCAGAGCCUGUCUUAUGGCGAGACAGAAGCCAAGCAUGCCAGGAUCUGCUCGGCCACGAGAAGGCAGCAGAAUCCAAAUCGUUUGAAGAAAAUCCUAAGGCAUGCAAAGGCUCGCCAAGUCUCAGAGCCUGUCUUAUGGCGAGACAGAAGCCAAGCAUGCCAGGAUCUGCUCGGCCACGAGAAGGCAGCAGAAUCCAAAUCGUUUGAAGAAAAUCCUAAGGCAUGCAAAGGCUCGCCAAGUCUCAGAGCCUGUCUUAUGGCGAGACAGAAGCCAAGCAUGCCAGGAUCUGCUCGGCCACGAGAAGGCAGCAGAAUCCAAAUCGUUUGAAGAAAAUCCUAAGGCAUGCAAAGGCUCGCCAAGUCUCAGAGCCUGUCUUAUGGCGAGACAGAAGCCAAGCAUGCCAGGAUCUGCUCGGCCACGAGAAGGCAGCAGAAUCCAAAUCGUUUGAAGAAAAUCCUAAGGCAUGCAAAGGCUCGCCAAGUCUCAGAGCCUGUCUUAUGGCGAGACAGAAGCCAAGCAUGCCAGGAUCUGCUCGGCCACGAGAAGGCAGCAGAAUCCAAAUCGUUUGAAGAAAAUCCUAAGGCAUGCGAAGGCUCGACAAAGUCUCAAAGCCUGUCUUAGGGCCAGACAAAAGGCCAGCAUGCAAGGAUCUGCUCGUUCGCGAGAAGGCGAGCAGGCUCCAAAGCAUUUGGAAAGUUUUCUAUGGCACGCAAAGGCCUCACCAAGUCUCAAAGCCUGUCUUACGGCGAGACAGAAGCGAUCAGCGUUUCAGACGAAAAUUAAUUCAUGAGUACGACACGAGAUAGUAAUCAACAACAUUUUUAUUAAUGGCUAACAGAGGGGAUAAAUUUCAUAAACGUCGUUCAUUACAAUACAAGAAGAAAUAUAUCAAAAAGAUGGUGGGUCAGUGAGCCGAGCAGCAUCGGUUGGCUGGACCUCCUCGGGUGCGGGAGGGGUAUCACCAGUUGCGUCCGGGGGGGUGCUCGCCUCGCCAACAUCAGCAGGGACUGCACGAGGAGGAGAGUUACCCUCCUCAAUCACGAUCGGCUCUAACCCCUCGGCAUCUUCCUUGGCCGCCUCCUCGUCCAUAUGUUGAGCAACACCAGCUGCAAGGUCAUCCAUCUUCAGAUCAGGGUGUUGCUUCCCGAGGACGGCCAUGAUACAACGAUACGAAUGCCGAAGUCCCUGGUCGUACUGGUUGUCGGCCUCCCUCUCCAAGUUCUCUACAUGAGCUCGGUGGGAAUCGCGGAGAGAUUCGAGCUGAGCCUCAUACAUAGCCCUCUGCCCUUGGAGGUCCUCCUUAACCUUGGUCAGCUCCUCCUCGAGUGUAAUGGCUUUUGCUUGAGCAAGGGACUCUUGCUCUAUCAGCUUGAGGUUCUCAACGUUUAGCUCCCUCGCCUUUUUCUCGGCAACGUCAGCUCUGGUCGUCGCCGAUUGAAUGUCCUCCUUCAUCUUCCUGUCGUAACGGCCAACCUUGGCCUUAUAGUAGGUGGCCAUGCAGCUGAGAUGGAAAGCACUGUACUGCAUGGCUCCCACCAGCUCGCCCAGGGUACAACCGUCAAAGCCCUCCAGGUCCUUCUUGCUCACGAGUUUAGACAACUCAUUGAGAUAGGGAACCAAGUGUUCUGGUCGGCUGUCGGGUAAGCGGGACCGAGGCACAACAGGUGGAGAAGAGGAAGCAGGAUCAGUGGCCGCUCUACUGGAUUCCCCGACUCUAGCAGAGGCAGGGGGGAGAGCCUGCAAGGGAGGAACCUGCUGCACGAUGUUCUUUCGCUUCGCAGCGGGAGCAUCUUUGUCCUGGUCCCUAUCGGUUGUUGGAGGCCGAGAGCGUUUCCUGGUCAGAGCUCCAAUCACUGCGUCCUCCAUCUUAUGGCCAGGAAGUAUCAACCGAGACUCGAGGAAGUUGUAUGUAGAUAGCAGUUCUCGGCUCGAGCAGGAAUUGGCCAAUACAGCCUCGACCCGUUUAAGCAGACCAGGUCGGAGCGGGAAGUGAACACCCCAGGAAACUACAGCACAAACAGACACUUGGUUAGAGACAAACCAAUACAGCAGGAACAAUUAUGGAUACAAGACAUCUAAAGCGAGCAGGCAACCUGGGACCGUGAAACGGGGUGGGACGCGACAAUCCUUCCCGUCUAUUUGUGCAACUUGACCCCAGGGACCCCCAGCAAAAAAGAAUUUCCUCUUCCAAGUCCCACCACCACCAGUUGGAAGAUCAGUUAUGGGUUUCCUGCUCUUGGUACCAGAUUGGAAGUAGUACCAGCCGGCAUCUUUAGGGCUGCUCUUCAGCUGGUACAGAUGCUUCACCUCAUCAACCGUGGGCUCGUUUUGGCAACAUCUGUCCCACAAUAUGAACAGACCAGAGAGCACUCUCCACCCGUUGGGGUUCAGCUGACCAGGAGCCAGAUUUAGCCCGUUAAGUAUCCGGGCAAAGUAAGGCUGCAAGGGACACCUCAGCCCAUACUUAAAGCUCUCCAGAUACAGGGUAACGUGUCCCCUGGGAGGCCGGCUAGGUGUAUCCUUUUUUCCUGGGAUCCUAAGAGGUAUCUCACCAGGAAUACUAUACCUAAGUCGGAGGUCAUUGAGCUCGUCAAACGUGGUCGUACACGACAUGUAGUCAAUGGCAUAAUCACGCGACAAGGCUCUACCCCCUACUGUACCCCGUUCUUCUGGUCGUGAUGCUCCUGAUGGGGACGCCUCACUAGAAUCAUCCCCUUGACCCUCACUCAAAGUGUUCUCCGAUCCAGAAGACCCUUCUUCAUCGCUACUGUCGCUCGAGGAGGUUGUUUGGGGAGACAUCCUCCUAGCGCUAGUACCAACACUAGACCUAAUGGGCUCUAAGGGGAUCCCGGGAUCAAAAGCAAAAUCAGCGGGCAGACUAGGCAAAAAACCUAGUUCGUCGUCACCAACCUCAACGACCUUCUCCUUACCCUUCGACAUAUCCUAAGUUCUAACCAAAACACCACCGCCAACUACAACCUCAAGCAAAGCAGAGAGAAAGGAGAUUACCUACAACUAACCGAUACCGAAAAAAAAAAUAUAGAAAAAAUACCUGAAGCAGGGACUCGGUCAGAGAGAGACAGGGAUGACAGCUUUGGUGCCGAGGUUCAUUCGCCGGAGAGACAAGAAUGGAGAAAAUGACGAGUUCGUGUUUGAAGAUUUUGGGUUUCCUUACUGAGAAGCAAACUCUUGGGCUGCCAGCAUUUAAUGACGCAUAUUCCGAGAAUCCCGUAACCGUCGGUUUGAAAUUCAAAUGGAGGGGGGGAUUUCUGCCACGUCACCUCGUCCGCAAUUAAAUGCGACAUGACUCCUGGCAGCCUUUUCCAAACCCACGCGAGCGAGUACUAUCGAGUUUCUACUGCUGGUCCACUACAUUACCCAACACCAGAAACUGGGGGACCGGUGUUUGGGAGGGAUACUGUUUGGGACAAAUGCGUCGAAGGGACCAGGAAUGACGAGCAGACAUCUGAUGGCGGAGUUCUGCGCACCGGUGUUUUCCGUUAAAGCCUGGCGCGUGGAAGAACAGGAGCAGAAACAUCCUGCUCGUCCACGAUGUUGUCGUCCGCGAGGCCAAUUCCUAUAAAAGGCAUGAGGCCAUUCCGGCUAGAGACCGAGAGGCGAGGAGACCCGGUCGACGGCAGUUGGCAAGACGCGCUCUCCAGCACGAGAACCUAGGCACAACAGCCACGCUUUCCCCAGAACCGCGACGUAACACGCAAGAUCUCACGGAGCCAUGACAGCCACACUUUCCCCAGAACCGUGGCGUAACACGCAAGGUCUCACAGAGCCGUGGCAGCCACGCUUUCCCCUGAACCGUGGCGUAACACGCUAGAUCCCAUGUUUUGCCCAUAACGCAGCAGUUGGAGUCCCAUACCGUCUCGAAAAGAGCGGAAGACUGAGAUUCAGAGGAAGCCUAUAAAAAGGUAGCCAACGAAGGUAAAAGGGUUAGCAUUUUUAAGAUAAAAGAGAAAACCACAAAAAAGCCAUAAGACCUGUGGCAAGCGUUCCCCGAACCUUCGUAUCUGACUUGAGCGUCGGAGGGUUUGCGCCGGGAGAACAACCGGCGUACUCUGACUUGUCUGUGUGUGCAGGGACAUCCGGAGAAGAAGCAUUACUAGGAGACCUCCUGGUCGUGGUAGAGUUGAUCGAGCAGGGAUCCUGGUCGUAGAACGAGGAGAACCGGAAUCUCGCAUCAACACUUCAAUUUAAAACAAAUAUGUUAUUUAAAUAUCUGUAUUCACACUCAUUCAUAUUUAAGAAAAAUUUAAAUAAGAUGUGUUUGAGGGAAAUGUUUCGACGAGACCAGACAUGAUGAGCAGAUAUUUGGUGGUAGAGUUCUGCGAACAGGUGUGUCCUGUAGAAGCCUGGUAGCAGGGGAACAGGAGCAGGAAUAUUCUGCUCGUCCACGAAUAUGUCAUUCACGAGAUCGAACUCCUGUUAGAGGCAUAAGGCCAUUCCUGCUAGGGGUCUAGGCGAGGAGACCCGGUCAACGACAAUUGGCAAGAUGUGCAUUCCUAUCCGAGAAUCAAGGCACGAAGUCCAUCUCCAUUCACCCACAAUGACGACAAUGGGGCAUCCACAUCCGAGGGUGGGGAGAAUAAUGGGCGUGGACUACGGAAGACCGAGAUUCAGAGGAAGCCUAUAAAAAGUUAGCCAGCAAAAGUAAAAGGGUUAGAAUUUUUGCUAUUAGAACUAAGAAAAGAGAGCUCUAAGAAUUGAGACUAAAGAGAAGCCAUAAGAUUCGUGGCAGAUAUUCCCAGAACCUUCAUAUCUGACUUGAGCGUCGGAGGGUUUACGCCGGGAAAACAACCGGCGUACUCUGACCUGCUUUUGUGUACGCAGGAACUUUUUGGAGAAGAAACCUUACGAGGAGAGAUUCUGGUCGUGGUAGAGUUGAUCGAGCAGAGUUCCUGGUCUUGGUAGAGAAGGCAACCAGAAUCUCGCAUCAACAUUUUGGCGCCGUCUGUGGGGAGCUGAUCAAAAAGCUUCUGUUGAUAGCAAGAAGAGGAGUAAAGCAAGUGGAAAAACAAUGGAGACUGGAGGAAGUAGUGCACAAGGGGGUGAUAUGAGGCUUAACGAUUCCGUGACGCUGAGGGAGAUAGCCAGUGAAGCACGGGAAAAAGCCAUGUUUGACCGGAUGGAACAGAUGGAGACCUUGACAACCAUCCUACAUGAGCUGCGGAGUGAACGAAUGGGAACCCAGGAGGAAAGGGUGAGAGGUGGUGGAGUGGCACCAGGUCCCGAUAGUACGAGGAGAAGUCAAAUCACCGGGAGAUUUGGUGGUGAGAGAGGUAACAUGCCUCUACGAGGAGAAUUUCAUAGAGAGGAAGAGCAAUCCCCGGCAAGACAGAUUUUUGACGAGGACGACGGGGUGGCAAAUGCAGAGGAAACAGAGUUGAGGCAACACUUGCAUGAUGUAGAGCAAGAGCGGGAUCAAGUUGCAGCACGUGACCCUGGUCGUGCAAUGCAGCUAGAGGAGGAAGUGUGCAGACUAGCGCAGAUAAUUGAUGACAUGCAAGGAAGGAGCAGAGCUCCUGGUUGGAGGAUAAUGCUGGACGGAGAAUCGCCGCUCGCAGUAGAGAUCAUGAGGGCAGUUAUCCCAAGAGAUUUUCGCCUUCCAGACCUUAGAUAUUCGGGACGAACUGAUCCGCUGGUGCACAUAGAGCGCUUCAACGACAUAACCGGAGUACAAGGGUUAUCUCAAUCUCAAAGGUGCAAGGUAUUCCCACUAUCCCUUGAAGGACGUGCACGCGAGUGGUACAGGAAACUUCCUCGGGAGAGCACUAAAACCUUCGAGCAGAUGUGCCAGGAAUUUGUAGAGUAGUUUCGUUGGGCAAUGGCACCAGAAGAUGAUAUGAUGGAGUUGAAAAGCAUGAAGCAGGAGGAACAAGAAACCCUUCAGGAAUUCAUCAAGAGGUUUCAUCAUGCUGUCCUCGAUUUGGGAGCCUUCAACCAUCCUCAGGCAUUAAGGGGAUUGAAAGAAGUGGUGAAGAUAGGAAGGCUGUGGUACAACUUGAGGAGCCCAGUUAUUCAGACGUACGUAGCCGCGUACGAGCAGGCUAAGAGGGACAUUGAGAUUGAGGAAGAAAAGGCAGCACGGAUUAAGAUAGACCAGCUAGAAGGGUUGGGAAAGAAAGAAAAGAAAGCAUUACCAGGGAAUGAGCCGAUCAGGAGGAGGGACCACCAGGCCUCGGGUAGUGGUGCAGGAGGUCGGGUAACCGCUUACCAGCCUCAUCAAAGGCCACCACAGUAUCAGCGCAGCAGGGCGCAACCUCCUCGUUCCCUAGCUAGGGAGCCUUGGAGAAGGCAUGACUUGGCAUAUAUUGGUCUUCAUCAACACUCCCAUGGUAAUAGAGGGAGCAGAUCAGAAGCGCUGUCACUGCCUCUAACUUAGAACGGCGCAAAUAGAGAAAGGGCGGUGCAUAUGAUCGACCAAAACCAGGACUAUGGGCGGUAUACUUCCUUGAAGAUGUCCCUGAACGAGGUAUACGAGGCCAUAAAGGACCGGGGAUUGUUGUACCUCUCUGCCCCAAUAACAAAGCUACCCAGCAGGAGGAAUAAGGGACGCUAUUGUAAGUUCCAUGGCAUUCAUGGCCAUACCACUGCAGAAUGCAGAGAUCUCAAGACCCAGGUCGAAGAUUUGGUGAGAAAUCGGUACCUGGACGAGUUUAUAGAUGGGACUUUCCCGAUGGUGGCCUCGACAUGUGAAGGGGAGCAGAAUGAUAGAAACUUGAGGCGUGAUCAGCCUGCAGUAAGGGUGAUAGCUAGGGGCCCAACAUUGGCCGGAGAUUCCAAUAGAUCGAGGAAGAAUUAUGCUAGAUACGCCAUGACUAGUAAAGAGGUAUUCUUCAAUACCCCAGCAGCCAAACGAGCAAGAGUCAGGCAAGUGCCAAGUAUGUGGACGGAUGAAGAUGAAGAAGGGAUUUUAUACCCCCAUGAGGAUGCUUUAGUCAUUAAGGCUACUGUUGCAAGUAAGAAGUUUGACCGGAUACUGGUUGAUACAGGGAGCUCAGUUGAUGUGUUAUUUAAGUCAACUCUGGAGCAGAUGGGAAUAGCAGACUGGAAGUUGAAGUACACCAAUACCUCCUUGAAGGGGUUUGGAGGAGGAAAGCUGGUCCCUCUGGGCAUGGUCGAGCUGCCUAUCACAAUUGGGAGCUCCCCGACAGAAAGAACUAUGAUGCUGGACUUUGUCGUGAUGGAUGAAGAAAGUCCUACCAGAUGAUCUUAGGUCGACCAUUUCUGAGGAUGAGCAAAGCGGUACUGUCUAACCAUUAUCUGGCUCUCAAGUACUGGGUGAAUGAGGUAGUUGGAAUGGUACGAGGAGACCAGAAAAUCGCACGAAGCUGCUACUCCUUGGCAGCAAGGGAAGCAAUGCAGAUAACAUCCCUUGAUACCCGAAUGGAAAACAAGAAUGACAGACAAGAACCUAUAGAGGAGCUGGAGACAGUAAGUCUGGGACCAGAGAAUCCGGGAAAAACGAUCAGAAUCGAGAAGAGACUUAAGGAAUAGCAGAAGCAGGAGUUGGUGAAAUGCUUACAGGCUCAUGCAGAUGUGUUUGCUUGGACACAUGAAGACAUGCCAGGAAUUGAUCCUGAUGUAGCAUGUCAUAAGCUGGCAAUAAAGAAAGGUGCUCGGGCAGUAAGGCAGAAAAGGAGGUACUUCAACCAGGAGAUGUAUGAGGCUAUAAAUGGGGAGGUGGAGAAGCUCUUAAGAGCAGGGUUCAUUCGGGAAGUCAAUUAUCAUGAGUGGAUAUCGAAUGUGGUGUUGGUGAAGAAGGCAAAUGGCAAGUGGAGGAUGUGCGUAGAUUUCACAUAUCUCAAUAAGGCGUGCCCGAAAGACAGCUUUUCUUUACCAAAGAUCGACCAGCUAGUAGAUUCAACGGCUAGACGCGGCCUGCUCAGCUUCAUGGACGCGUUUUCGGGAUACAACCAAAUUUCCAUGUACGAGCAGGAUGAGGAGAGCACGGCUUUUAUUACUAACCAGGGUUUAUUCUGUUGCAGGGUAAUGCCAUUUGGUCUUAAAAAUGCUGGGGCCACAUACUAGAGGCUGGUGAAUAAAGUCUUUAAGCCAUUGAUUGGGAGAACCAUGGAGGUGUACGUGGACGACAUGAUAACCAAGUCGAAAAUCCUGGAGGAAUAUGUCGGGCACCUCGAGGAGACAUUCGGGCUUUUGAGGAAGUAUAAGAUGAAGCUCAACCAGGAAAAGUGUGCUUUUAGGGUCGAGUCAGGGAAAUUCCUUGGAUUCAUUGUGAGCCAUAGGGGGAUCGAAGCAAAUUCCGAAAAGAUCCAGGCAAUCGUGCAGAUGAGGUCUCCUCCUAGCCUGAAGGAGAUGCAAAGCCUCACAUGUAGGUUGGCGGUUUUGAGCCGAUUCAUAUCCAAGGCUACUGAUAAGUGUCGGCCAUUCUUUCAAGUGAUAAGGAGGGGAAAGAAAACGGAAUGGACCCCAGAAUGCGAAGAAGCCUUCCAUAACUUGAAGCAGUACUUGCAGCAAGCACCUUUGCUGUCCACACCGAGGGAUGGGGACAAGCUAUUUUUGUAUUUGGCGGUAUCAGAUCGGGCCGCAAGUUCUGUUCUGGUGAGAAAGGAAGAAGGGGUUCAGUAUCCGAUAUACUACACCAGCAAGGCCCUGCUCAACUCUGAGACCAGAUACCUACCGCUGGAGAAAUGAGCACUUGCCCUUGUGGUUGCUGCUCGGAAGCUGAGGCCAUACUUUCAAGCAUUCCCAGUCUCGGUAAUAACAAACCAGCCACUGCGUCAAACUCUGCACAAGCCAGAUGCUUCUGGUCAGCUCGUCAAGUAGGCGAUAGAGCUGAGCGAAUUCGACAUAAACUACAAACCCCGAGCAGCGAGCGAUAAAGGCUCAUGCGAUGGCCGAUUUCGUAGCAGAAUUCACAAAGCCCGAAAUAUGUUUAGACCAGCGAGAUGUGGCUACAGACAACAACGAAGCCCGAGUAUGACAGAUGUCUGUAGAUGGGUCAUCAGGGGAGCAGGGAUCAGGAGCAGGAAUUGUUUUGGAAUGCCCGGAAGGGGAGGAGAUCUCUUAUGCUGUAAAGUUAGAAUUUGCAGCCACAAAUAACCAAGUAGAAUACAAAGCCUUAAUAGCAGGUUUGGAAUUGGCUAAGGCAGUGAAAGCGGAUAGAGUGAAGAUCAGAACUGAUUCCCAGCUGGUCGCAAAUCAUGUCAGUGAAAGAUUUCAACCUAGAGAGGAAAAGAUAGAGCAGUACCUGAAAAUAGUCAGGCAGAUGAUAGGGAAAUUCGAAGCGGUUGAGGUGAUACAAAUCCCCAGAGAGCAGAAUAGUCGAGCAGAUAUUUUGGCCAGGAUGGCAGAGGUAGCAGACCCAAAAAUGCCAAAGUCGAUCCCCCUGGAGGUGAAGUCCAGCCCGAGCAUCGAACAGAAUUUGGGGGUGCUGCGGAUAGAACAAAAAUGCUCAUGGAUGGACCUGAUAAUUUCAUACCUUAGAGACGGGGUAUUACCACCAGAUAAGCUGCGAGCUCGGAAGAUUAGAGCCCAGGCCUCGAGAUACACGAUGAUUGAUGGGGUACUGUAUCGACGAGGAUAUACGCUACCUUUCCUUCGGUGUUUGGAUGAGGACGACGCGGACUACGUACUGAGAGAAGUACAUGAAGGAAUUUACGGAAAUCAUUCUGGUGGGAGGUCCCUGGCCCACAAAGUUCUAAGGCAGGGAUAUUUCUGGCUGACAAUGCACCAGGAUGCGCAGGAGAAGACCAGGAGCUGUGUAAGCUGCCAGAGUUUUGUAAGUUUCUCCAACCAACCACCAGAGAAGCUCACCUCUAUGGCCUCCCACUGGCCAUUUGCUCAAUGGGGAAUUGAUCUGAUCGGCCCAUUGCCAAAGGGACGAGGAGCAGCAACACAUGCAAUCGUUGCGAUAGACUACUUCACGAAGUGGAUAGAGGUAGAAGCCCUUAGCAGGAUCACAGAAAAGAAAACAACAAACUUUGUAUGAAGAAACAUGGUUUGUCGAUACGGGAUCCCUUAUGUCUUGGUAACGGAUAAUGGCAGGCAGUUCGAUAAUCACAGCUUCAGGGAUUUCUGCCAGAACCUCGAGAUAGAGUUAAAGUAUUGCUCGCCUGCUCAUCCUCAAUCUAAUGGACAAGUAGAAGCAGCCAACAAGACCAUCAAGAGGCUUUUAAAAACCAGGCUUGGAGCAAAAAUGGUGCAUAGGUUGAUGACCUGUUAGGUGUUGUAUGGGCAUACAGGACAACCAACAAAACAACAACUGGGGAGACACCGUUCGCCUUGGCUUUCAGACAUGAAGCGGUCGUACCAGCCGAGAUAGGGACGACCACGCACCUGACAGAUCAUUUCAAUGAAUUGGAGAACGACGAGCAGAUGUGUUUGAAUCUAGAACUGUUAACGGAAAAGAUGGAGCAAGCAGCCGAGCGAUCAGCCAUCUACCAGCAGAGGGUUGCUCGUUAUUAUAACCAUAAGGUGAAUGUACGGCAAUUCAGGGUCGGAGACUGGGUACUGAGAAGAGUGAAUCAGAGCACCAAAGCCUCGACUCAAGGAGUGCUGGGACCGAAUUGGGAGGAACCAUAUAGGGUCAAGCAGAUAGUAGAACCCGGAGCUUACAAGCUGGUUCGCACGGACGGCCACGAGGUGAAACGCCCAUGGAACGCAGUACACCUCAGAAAAUACUUCCAAUAAGACUUGUUCACGUUUUAAAAUUAUUUCUGUUCGUGCUCGUUAUCUUUUAUUUUUUAUGUCAAAGCAAGUUCAUGUAAGAAUAAAUCCUACAUAAACAUGCCAAGCGUGCCAGGAUCUGCUCGACCGCGCGAAGGCGAGCAGAAUCCCAAGCAUUGAAGAAUUUUCUAAGGCAUGUAAAGGCUCAUCAAGUCUCAAAGCCUGUUUAUGGCGAGACCAAAAGCCAAGCGUGCCAGGAUCUGUGCAACCGCGCGAAGGCGAGCAGAAUCCCAAGUAUUGAAGAAUUUUCUAAGGCAUGCAAAGGCUCAUCAAGUCCCAAAGCCUGUUUAUGGCAAGACCAGAAGCCAAGCGUGCCAGGAUCUGCUCGACCGCGCGAAGGCGAGCAGAAUCCCAAGUAUUGAAGAAUUUUCUAAAGCAUGUGGCAAAACCAUAUGCCAAGCUAGAGCCUGCUCGACCAGACGAAGACGAGCAGACUCUCAAACGGAAAAAUAACUCGUAAUUACAACACAAGAAAGUAAUCAAAAAUAUUUUUAUUAAUUUAUUAAUAAUUAACAAAGCAGAUAAUCUUCACAAACAUUGUUCAUUACAAUACAAGAAACAUGUUUAAGAAGAAGGCGGGUCCGUAAGCCGAGCAGCCUCAGUCGGCUGGUCCACCUCAGGUGCUGGGGGAGUAUCACCAGUUGCGUCCAGGGGGGUGCUUGCCUCACCCACAUAAACAGGAAUGGCACGAGGAGGAGAGUUUUCCUCCUCAACUACGAUUGGCUCCACCCCUUCGGCAUCUUCCUUUGCAGCCUCCUCGUCCAUAUGUUAAGCGACACCAGCUGCAAGGUCGUCCAUCUUUAGAUCAGGAUGCUGCUUUUCGAGGACGGCCAUAAUGCAGCGAUAAGAAUGCCGAAGUCCCUGGUUGUCAGCCUCCUUCUCCAAGUUCUCGACCUGAAAUCGAUGGGAAUCGCGGAGAGAUUCGAGUUGAGUCUCGUACAUAGCCUUCUGCCUUUGAAGAUCCUCCCUGACCUUGGUCAGCUCUUCCUCGAGGGUAAUGGUUUUUGCUUGAGCAAGAGAUUCUUGCUCUAUCAACUUCAGAUUCUCGAGAUUCAGCUCCCCUGCUUUCUUCUCAGCAUCAUCAGCUCUGGUCAUCGCCGACUGAAUGUUCUCCUUCAUCUUUUUGUCAUAACAGCCAACCUUGGCCUUAUAGUAGGUGGUCAUGCAGCUGAGAUGGAAAGUGCUAUACUGCAUGGCUCCCACCAGCUCGCCUAAGGUGCAGCCAUCAAAGUCCUCCAGGUCAUUCUUGCUCACGAGUUUGGAAAGCUCGUUGAGAUAAGGGGCCAAGUGUUCUGCUCGGCUGUCAGAUAAAUAAGAUAUAGGCCCGACAGGAGGAGAAGAGGAAGCAGGAUCAGUGGCUGCUCCACUAGUUUCUCCGACUUUGGCAGGAGGAGGAGGUAAAGUCUUCAAGGGAGAAACCUGUUGCACAAUGUUCACCCGCUUCGCAGUGGGAGCGUCCUUGCUCUGGUCCCUCUUCGCAGUUUGAGGUCGAGGACGCUUCCGAGUCAGAGCCCCAAUCACAGCAUCCUCCAUCUUAUGGCUGGGGGGCACCAAACAAGACUCGAGCAGGUUAUAGGUAGUUAUCAGCUCUCGACUCGAGCAGGAAUUAGCCAGUACAACCUCGACCCGUUUGAGUUGGUCAGGUUGGAGUGGGAAAUGAACAACCCAAGAACCUGCAACACAAACAGACACUUGGUUAGAGACAAACCAAUAAAGCGAGAAUAAUUAUGGAUAUAAGACAUCUAAAGCGAGCAGGCAACCUGGGACCACGAAACGGGGUGGGACGCGAUAAUCCUUCCCGUCAAUUUGUGCAACUUGACCCCAAGGACCCCCAGCAAAAAAGAAUUUCCUCUUCCAAGUCCCACCACCACCAGUUGGAAGAUCAGUUAUGAGUUUCUUGUUUUUAGUACUAGAUUGGAAGUAGUACCAGCCGACAUCUUUGGGGCUGCGCUUUAGCUGGUACAGGUGCUUCACCUCAUCAACCGUGGGCUCGUUUUGGCAACAUCUGUCCUACAAUAUGAACAGACCAGAGAGCACUCUCCACCCAUUGGGGUUCAGUUGACCAGGAGCCAAAUUUAGCCCAUUAAGUAUCUGGGCAAAGUAGGGUUGCAAGGGACACCUCAGCCCAUACUUAAAGCUCUCAAGAAACAGGGUAACAUAUCUCCUAGGAGGCCGGCUAGGUGUAUCCUUCUUUCCUGGGAUCUUCAGAGGUAUUUCACCAGGAAUACUAUAUCUAAGUCGGAGGUCAUUGAGCUCGUCAAACAUGGUCGUGCACGUCAUGUAAUCAAUGGCAUAAUCCCUCGACAAGGCUCUACCUCCUAUUGUACUCCGCCCUUCUGGUCGCGAUGUUCCCUGUGAGGAUCCCUCACCAGAGUCACCUCAUUGAUCCUCACUUAGGGCGUUUUCUGAGCCAGAAGAUCCCUCCUCACCACUACUUCCGCUCGUGGAGGUUGUUUGGGGGGACAUCCUCCUAGCACUAGUCCCGACACUAGACCUAAUGGGUUCUAAGGGGAUCCCAGGGUCAAAAACAGGAUCGGUGAGCAGACUAGGCAAGAAACCUAGUUCGUUGUCAUCAAUCUCAACGACUUUCUCCUUACCCUUCGACAUUCCCUAAGUUAUAACCCAAAACACCACCACCAACUACUACCCCAUGCAAAGCAAAGAGAAAAGAAAUUAUCUACAACUAACCAAGACCGAGAAAAUAGAAGAAAUACCUGAAGCAGGGACUCGGUUAGAGAGAGACAGGGAUGAAAGCUUUAAUGCCGAGGUUCGUUCGCCGGAGAGACAAGAAGGGAGAAAAUGACGAGUUUGUGUUUGAGGAUUUUGGGUUUUCUUACCGAGAAGCAAACUCUUGGGCUGCUAGUAUUUGAUGACACAUAUUCCGAGAAUCUUGCAACCGUAGAUUUGAAAUUCAAAUGGAGGGGUAGAUUUCCGCCACAUCACUUCAUCCGCAAUUAAAUGCGAUACGACUCUUGGCAGCCUUUUCCAGUCCCACCAGAAACUGGGGGACCGGUGUUUGAGGGAAAUAUUUUGACAAGACCAGACAUGAUGAGCAGAUAUUUGGUGGCAGAGUUCUGCGAACAGGUGUGUCCUGUAGGAGCCUGGUAGCAGGGGAACAGGAGCAGGAAUAUUCUGCUCGUCCACGAAUAUGCCAUUCACGAGACCGAACUCCUGUUAGAGGCAUAAGGCCAUUCCUGCUAGGGGUCGAGGCGAGGAGACCUAGUCAACGACAAUUGGCAAGACGUGCAUUCCUAUCCCAGAAUCAAGGCACGAAGUCCAUCUCCAUUCGCCCACAAUGACGACAAUGGGGCAUCCACAUCUGAGGGUGGGGAGAAUAAUGGGCGUAGACCACGGAAGACCGGGAUUCAGAGGAAGCCUAUAAAAAGGUAGCCAGCGAAGGUAAAAGGGUUAGAAUUUUUGCUAUUAGAACUAAGAAAAGAGAGCUCUAAGAACUGAGACUAAAGAGAAGCCAUAAGAUUCGUGGCAGAUAUUCCUAGAACCUUCAUAUCUGACUUGAGCGUCGGAGGGUUUACGCCGGGAAAACAACCGGCGUACUCUUACCUGCUUUUGUGUACGCAGGAACUUUUUGGAGAAGAAACCUUACGAGGAGAGAUCCUGGUCGUGGUAGAGUUGAUCGAGCAGAGUUCCUGAUCUUGGUAAAGAAGGCAACUAGAAUCUCGCAUCAACAAGAUGUUUUAGAGAUAAGGUGAUAUAAAUAAAAGAGUGAAGAACAUUGUGGUGCUAUAAAAAUUAAAAUGAAAACCCUAACUAUUAAGGAAAAGUUGAUGCGUGUUUAAUAAAUCACUACUACUUGUUACAUAAAAGUUAUUUAUUAGAUUCAGAGUUUAUUUUUUGAAAAAAAGUUGUGGGAAAAUUUUUGGCGGCUAAACUGCGAAAAAGGCUAAAAAAAAAGAGCCUUUUAGAGUAGUGGCUACUAGCUAAGACUAGGACACAUUCUUAAGAGAAUGUACUCAAUUUAGGAGAUUUUAGUUUGUGGUAUAUCAACUUCUCUUCUUUGUCAAGGAACGACUUUUCUAGUGGUUUGACAUAGAGAAGGGAAAAUAGAGUAAUACAGGAAAUUAUUUGCUUCUACAUGAAACAGAUAUCUUGAUCAGUGGGUCAUAACCAAGGAUCCGCCUACUAUGCAACCGUUGCACGGUACUCAAAUUUUGCCAAUGUCUGGUUUAGCCAAUAGAUCUAAUGGCUAAAGUAUUCAACGGUUAAAUGUGUUUAAUUAGUUAUUAACACUUAAGUUUUUAGUAUUUAUUACAAAAUCAUAAAAAUUAAAAAUUUUUAAAUAUAUACUUGAGGUAAAAUAAUAAUAAUGACAAUAGAAUUAUUUAAAAAAAACUUAUAAAAUUUAAUAAUGUUGAUGAUGUUGUUGACAACAUUAAUAAUAAUAUAAUAAUUAGAAUAAUAAAUUUAAUAAUAUUAUAAUUAAUAUAAUAAUAAUAACAAUAAUUAAAUAAUAAAAUUUAUAUUUUAAUAAUAGUAAUAAUAAUAACUUAAUUAAAGUAAGUGUAACAAUUAAAAUAAUAAAAUUAUCUGCAGCCGCCGUGUCAUAAAAGUCAAAUUUCUGCCAUGGUAUCUCUGACAGCUGAUUGGCAUAUUGUUAAAAAAAUUCAAAACCGCAACCUUCUCCUCUGGCUCUGUGUAUUUUUCCUGGCAAUGAAUCCCAUUAGCCAUUUAAGUCCUCGUCCUCAUUUUUGCAGCCGCACCAACAGAAACAAAAUGGAGAGACAAGAACAACAAAAGGCCAGCCGCUUGGUGUUUGUGUUGUAUCCAUCUCAAGGCCACAUAAAUCCUAUGCUUCAGCUUGCCACCAUCCUUCACUCAAAAGGCUUUUCAAUCACCAUCAUUCACCCAAAAUUCAACUCUCCCAACUCAUCUAAUUAUCCUGAAUUCACAUUCAUACCCAUAUCAGAUAACUUACCUGAAAGCCAAGACUCAUUUGGGGAUAUUUUUGGCAUCGUUUCAGCUCUUAACAAGAAUUGUGAAGGACCGUUGACUGAAUGCAUUCAACAAAUGUUGAAAGCAGAGGAUCCGCAAGAUCGGCUUUCGUGUAUCGUUUAUGACAGCGUUAUGCACUUUUCUCAAAGUGUUGCUGAUCAUUUAAAGCUUCCGGGAAUCAGUGUUCGUACUGGCCCUGCUGCCACAAUGUUCGCCUUCGCUGUCUGUCCUCGUCUUGACGAGCAAGGUUACAUCUCCUUCCUAGGUAAAGUUUGAAUACUUCGUAUGAGUGGCUAAUUUGAUAACGAAACUAGAUACAUGUAAUUAAUUUUAUCUCCCUCAAAUUUGCGGAAUAGUUUCAUUGAAACAGAGGUAAUUAGGCCAAUCCGGCUUCUCCUCAAGACUCUUUGAUAAUAACUUACCUAAACUAGCUUCCAUUGUUAUAGCUGAUAUGCCAAUUGUGCAACAGAAUCUAUGUCCCUGGACGGAAAGAGCGAUCUCCUGUCCCUCCUGCUUAAGGAACUAGCUUUUUCAAUGAAAAAAUUUACAGCCCAUGGUUUCUUAGAGUUAAGAGCUGCUGUAACAGAUUCAGUGCAAAGGUGUUCGGCUCUCAUUCUUAACACAGUUGAUUUCAUUGAACAAGAAGCACUAACAAAAGUUCAAGAACUAUUCUCAGCUUCAGCUUUCACCAUAGGUCCUUUUCACAAAUUAACGCCAACCAUUUCUAGUUCAUUACUAAAGGAAGACAGUCAUUGCAUUUCUUGGCUAAACAAGCAAGCUCCAAAGUCUGUCAUUUAUGUCAGUUUUGGCAGCGUAGCUAGCAUAGACGAGAAAGAGCUGCUUGAAACAGCUUGGGGCCUGGCAAACUGUGGGCAACCUUUCUUGUGGGUGGUUAGGCCAGGUUUGGUUCGUGGCUCGAAUUGCUUGGAACUAUUACCAAUUAAUUUUCAAGAUAGCGUUGGAGAAAGGGGUUGCAUUGUGGAAUGGGCACCGCAAAAGGAGGUGCUAGCAAAUGAUGCUGUAGGUGGGUUUUGGAGCCAUUGUGGCUGGAAUUCUACUCUCGAAAGCAUUUGCGAAGGCAUUCCAAUGCUAUGCAGGCCAUUUUUCGGGGAUCAAAACGUAAACAGGAGAUAUGUGUGUGACGUUUGGAAUGUAGGCUUGGAAUUGGAGGAGUUCGAGAGAGGGAAGAUUGAGAAAGCUAUAAAAACACUCAUGGUAGAUACAGAAGGCGAAGAGAUGAGGAAAAAGGCAACACAUUUGAAGGAGAAGGUGGAGCUGUCUCUGAAAGAAGGUGGUUCUUGCUACAAUUCAUUGAAUGAUUUAGCUGAGAAAAUCUUAUCAUUCCGACCAAAUGAAGAUGGAGCUUCUGGACCAACCAGUGUUUUUAGCUGCUGAUAUCCGUAACAUAGUAAGUAUCUAUUAGAUUUAAGGCUUGAAUAAUAUCCUGGCUCAUAUGUCACAAAUUGAUGUAAAAGUUUUAAAAGCUUUGUGGAUCUUAAGACCAUUGAUAAAUAUUAUUACUUCAUGAUAUUGAUUCUCUUAAACGUUACAGUGAAGACUCCAAAUGUAUUGUGAAGAAAAUGAUCAGAGGAAAUAGACAAAACGAAGUAAAUAUAAAGCCAAAGGAGAAAACGAAAAAACAAAUCUCCUAAGGAACUGACAUCAGAUUCCGAGAUUAGGUACAAACCUGCCAACAAAUCAUCCCAUGAAAACUUAACACAUUCACACAGAUCUAGGCCACAUGCAAACAAAUAUGAUAAACGCGAUCACCGUUCCAUUUUUUCAUUUUCCGAGUUUCUUAAAUUUACCUUAUAUGCCUUUCAACUUAAUUCGGCCUAAUAUGGCUAGUAUCUAUGUGCUUGUGACUGUGAGAUGUUACAUUGUAAAAAAAUAAUCCACACCUCAGUUACAUGUGCUUGAGAUGCAUAAAAGUGGAUCGAUGUGCAUCUAAAACGAAAAACUGAAUAGCAGUAAGACUGGAGAUACACACAGAUGGAGGAGCAAAAGCAGAGACAUUGCUGAUUGGUGCUAGGGCCAUGCCCAUUCCAGGGACACUGAAAACCAAUGCUUCAGCUGGGAACCAUUCUUAAUUCAAAGAGUUUUGCAAUUACAGUUGCAGACACCAGAUUUACCUCACCUAAUCCUUCAAACUACCCUAAUUUUGAUUUCCUGCUGAUCGUAGGUGGCUUCAUCAGUUCUAACCCUUCCUUUGGGGAUUUGCUGGCUUCCAUUCUAUUCCUCUAUCACAAUUCCAAAGCACCUUUCCAGCAAUGCUCUACUCUAUUAAUGGAACAACAGAAGGCACGAGCUGAGGUGAUCUCCUGUAUCCUCCAUGAUAAAAUCACGUAUUUCUCAAAAGCUGUAUCAGCCUGGAGCUUUCGAGCAGCAGCUUGUGCCCUGCUAGUGCAGCUCAAUAUAAUUCUCGCAAAGCUAUUCCUCAGCAGGGUAUGUACCCCGUUUAAGAAUUUAUAGAAUUUCAGGGUCGCAUCAUUAAGAAUUUUUUCCAGGCAUUCUGUAAAAACUGCCUUUCUUAAGUCCCAAUUAUAGAGUGAAUCCUAACUAUAGAUUGAACAGAUCGUGUGCAGAUAAAGUGCUCUUUUUUUUCUUUUUUUGGUUUGGAAUUUCAGGCCUUGGAUUAAAGGACAUAAUGCCUGAGUUUCAUCCCCUCAGGCUAACAGAUCUGCCUUCGUCCAAAUUUGAGUCACUGGAAUAAUUGUCACUUGGACAAAGCGUUGCGAUUUUACAAACUCUUUCAGCUCUCACUUUCAAAACAAAUCCAAGAGCAUUGCCAAGUUCCAAUCUUCUCAAUAGGCCCUCUUCACGAAUUUACACCAGUCCUCUCUAGCGGCUUGUUAAAAGAAGACCCGAGCUGCAUUACACUGCUUGACAAAGAAUUCUGCUUUAUACAUAUAUAAGCCUAUCAAGUGUAACGCUAAUAGAUGCAAAUGAACUACCAGACACGGCAUGGAGCUUGGCCAAGAGCAAGCAGCAGCCUUUUCUUGCAGGCGAUUUAAGGCUGGCCCACUGCUUGGUUCAGGUUGGCUUGAGUUACUGCCCAAGGGUUCAAAGAAAGAGGCUUCAUUGUGAAAUGAGCACCACAGAGAGAUGUCUUGGAUCUUCAAGCUUUAAGGGGUUUUUGAAGCCAUUGUGGUUGUACUUCAACCCUGGAAAGUAUAAAAGGAGUUCCACUGCUUUGAGGGCUAGGGAUUUGAAAGAGAAGGUUGACACUCGCAUGGCGAAGGUUGUUCCUCCUACAACUAAUGGAAGGAGUUGGCGAAAUUGAUCAAGUCAUUCUAAAUGCAAUUGAUUUAGCGCUUACAGCUUUAGGGGAAUUCUGUCACCAUUGUGGUCGCAGUCAGACGCUGGAAAGAGUAAGAGAAGGAAUUCCGGCGAUGUGAGGGCUAGAGAUUUCAAUGAAAAGGUUGAUAUUUGUAUUCAUGUACCAAACACUGUAAAUUGGCGAAAGGGAAAACCAUCAAAGCUCAAAUGAACAGAAUACCAUUACACAAACAUUCAUGCAAGCAAAUUACAAAACCAAAACAUCACAGCAUCCUUAUACAAGUAUGCAUAAAGACAUACAGACAGACACUGGUUUAACCAGAGAUUGCGAUAGCCUUAACAUCAGGUUUGGUCACCUCCACUUUCGGAACAGUAACAGUGAGCACACCACUCUCCAUGGAAGCCUUAAUCUGAUUCAUCUUCACAUUCUCAGGCAGCCUGAACCUCCUUGAGAACAUGCCACUGCUACGCUCAACGCGAUGCCACGUGUCGUUCUUGUCUUCCUUCUCAAUCUUCCUCUGACCGCUUAUCUGAAGCACCCUGUCAUCUUCGACCUCGACCUUCACUUCCUCUUUCCUCAGCCCCGGAAGAUCGGCCUUGAACACGUGGGCUUCCGGGGUUUCCUUCCAGUCCACGCGAGCAUUAACGAUAGCAGAGGUUUCUGAAGGGAACUGAGAGGACAGAGAAGACGAAUAACCGGAAGGGAAAGGGAAGUCCCUGAACGGAUCCCAAACGUCGAGUGAAAAUGGAUCAGAGACACUGCUGCCUCGGUUCCCGAAGAAGCUUGGAAUCAACGACAUCGUUUCUCAAAAGAGUGAUACUGCUUUCAGUAUUUUGCUGCUGAUGCGAGGAAGAGG
rnacentral:lncRNA from 1 species